rnacentral:lncRNA from 1 species
GAGGCAAGGGCGUCGCGAGCUAGAGCCCUACCCAACGAGUCGCCGUGUUAGAGGAUCACCGGCCGCAGGUAGUAGUGUUUUGUUAUUUUGAGGUUAUGUACAUACUGAUGCUGGAACUCGCUGGAGCGAGUACUUUUGUACUUGUUACUUUGUAUGUAUAUGAGAUUUGUUUGUUCUACCUGCUUAGUUUCUUUACAGCUCUAUACUACUGGUUGUAGUAUUGUAUGUUUUACAGUUACCGUUAUGCUUCGUAUACAAGAAAAAUUCUUUGUAUAUGGCGGAUUUGUCGGCGUGUUCGGGGAACGUGUAAUCCGAGGCGUGACAUUAACAGUUGAAUAAUAGAGAGAAAAAAUAUAAUUUGUUGAUCAAAUUCCUAUGCGUCAAGGAUGGGAGGGAAUAUUUAGCAGGUAAACGAAUUAUUUUAUUUAAAAUUAGUUUGGUAAUUAAACAAUACAAAAUUUAAAGAAAUUUUAAUUGAAGUUUUAAAUUUACGCAUUAAUUUACACAAAUUUAGAAAAUUAAUUG